rnacentral:lncRNA from 1 species
CACCCCUCUCUAGCUCCACCGGUCCUCAUUAACCGUUCACUGAAUAAAUCAACAUAUCCCCCAUCCAUCACCUGUCCAUCCCCUGUUCAUCACCUGUCCAUCACCUGUCCACCCCCCUUCCAUCCCCCAUCCAUCACCUGUCCAUCCCCCGUCCAUCACCUGUCCAUCCCUCGUCCAUCACCUGUCCAUCCCCCUUCCAUCCCCCAUCCAUCACCUGUCCAUCCCCCGUCCAUCCCCCUUCCAUCCCCCAUCCAUCACCGGUCCAUCACCUGUCCAUCACCUGUCCAUCACCCGUCCAUCCCUCGUCCAUCACCCGUCCAUCACCGGUCCAUCACCUGUCCAUCACCGGUCCAUCACCUGUCCAUCCCCCAUCCAUCACCUGUCCAUCACCUGUCCAUCCCCCGUCCAUCACCUGUCCAUCCCUCGUCCAUCACCUGUCCAUCACCGGUCCAUCCCCCUUCCAUCCCCCGUCCAUCACCUGUCCAUCCCCCGUUCAUCACCUGUCCAUCACCUGUCCAUCCCCCUUCCAUCCCCCAUCCAUCACCUGUCCAUCACCUGUCCAUCCCCUGUUCAUCACCUGUCCAUCCCCCAUCCAUUACCUGUCCAUCACCUGUCCAUCCCCUGUUCAUCACCUGUCCAUCCCCCGUCCAUCACCGGUCCAUCCCCCUUCCAUCCCCCAUCCAUCACCUGUCCAUCCCCUGUCCAUCACCUGUCCAUCCCCUGUUCAUCACCUGUCCAUCCCCCUUCCAUCCCCCAUCCAUCACCUGUCCAUCACCUGUCCAUCCCCCGUUCAUCACCUGUCCAUCCCCCUUACAUCCCUCGUUCAUCAUCUGUCCAUCCCCCAUCCAUCACCUGUCCAUCCCCCGUUCAUCACCUGUCCAUCCCCUGUUCAUCACCUGUCCAUCACCUGUCCAUCCCCUGUUCAUCACCUGUCCAUCACCUGUCCAUCCCCUGUUCAUCACCUGUCCAUCCCCCAUCCAUCACCUGUCCAUCCCCCAUCCAUCACCUGUCCAUCACCUGUCCAUCCCCUGUUCAUCACCUGUCCAUCCCCCGUCCAUCACCUGUCCAUCCCCCAUCCAUCACCUGUCCAUCCCCCUUCCAUCCCUCAUCCAUCACCUGUCCAUCACCUGUCCAUCACCUGUCCAUCACCUGUCCAUCCCCCAUCCAUCACCUGUCCAUCCCCCUUCCAUCCCUCAUUCAUCACCCGUCCAUCACCUGUCCAUCCCCCGUUCAUCACCUGUCCAUCCCUCGUUCAUCAUCUGUCCAUCCCCCAUUCAUCACCUGUCCAUCCCCCGUUCAUCACCUGUCCAUCCCUCAUCCAUCAUCGGUCCAUCAUCGGUCCAUCCCACCAUUCAGGCUCAGUCCUGUCUGAAGGACACAGGAUGA